ACCUUGUGAUCCGUCUGCCUUGGCCUCCCAAAGUGCUGGGAUUACAGGCGUGAGCCAUUGCACCUGGCCAUCAUUAGUCUUUUAAAUCCACCAAUCCAGUAGAAAUUAUAUUUAUUUAAAUGAAUUACCCAUGCACAGGUUUCAUUCAGUGUAAUAAAAUAUGGGCUUCAGAAACAAAAACCAGAACUGAAAGAAAAUUGGUUUUGUAGGUAGAAAAAUGUGAUUUAAAAAUGCAGAUAUGCCAUUUAUUUUGAGGGUGUAUAGCUCACCCCUGUAAUCCCAGCACUUUCGGAGGCUGAGACGGGUGGAACACUUGAGCCCAGGAGUUUGAGACCAGCCUGGGCAAUAUGGUGAAACCCCGUAUCUACUAAAAAUACAAAAAAUUAGCUGGGUGUGGUGGUGCACCUGUAGUCCUAGCUACUUGGGAGGCUGAGAUGGGAGGAUCACCUGAGCCCAAGGAUAUUGAGGCUGUAGUGAGCCGUGAUUGUGCCAAUGCACUCCAACCUGAGCGUUGGAGUGAGACCAUGCCUCAAAAAAACAAAAACAAAAAACUCUUAAAAUCGAGGGAAAGACCCAAAAACCCGAUAGAAAAAGUGAGUAAAAGAAAUGAACACAUGAAAUCACACACACACAGACACACACACACACAAAGAGAGAGAGAGGAAGCACAAAUUUUAAAAUUAUAGCGUGAGCCACCGCACCCGGCCAGUUAUUUGUAUUCUUGUUAUUAAGAAGUGUGAGUUCCUUUUACAUUUUGAAUAUUAGCCCCUUAUCCAAUAUAUGAUUUGCAAGUAUUUUCUCCUAAUCUUUGGGUUGUCUCUUCAUCCUAUUGUUUCCUUUGCUAUGUGGAAUAGGAUUCUCUGUUUUCUUAAUUUUAAUGCUCAGUGUGUAUUUCUUUUAUAAUUAGAAACUCUAUAAGGCUAAUCCUUCCCUCCUUAAAACUGGAAGAAUUAUAGAAGGAGCUAUGGGCACACUGACACAGAGGCAUGAUGGUGAGGUGUCUUUGGGAACUCAGACUGAAGGGACCUCAGUUCUCUCCACUGGCCACUGAGGGAAAAGUUUCUCAAACAAUACCUUGAAGUUUUGACUCUUCAUAUCAGCUGAGCAUUUAUCUGCAAUGGCUUCCCUCUUCUUUGAGCCACCUUAACACAUUACUCUCCACACAUUCACGGCUAUCUCCUUUUCUUCAAUGGGGAAAUCACAUCUGGCUUAGAGAUAAAAGGUCCUGUAUAUAGGAAAAGAAAUUGGACUUAGGCCUGUUGUGGUGAUGUCAAUUCAGGGAGAGGAAAAUAUGAGACAGAGGAAGAUAAAGUCACUUUAGGUGUCAAGAAAAUGAAGCCUCAAUAAUAAAAACACAGUUGAGUGUUUGCAGCUAUAAAAAUGUCAGAUCAGUUCUUCCAAGGCUCUCAAGAGACUCACAAUGAAAGAAAAUACUCCCAGCAAGCAGAUUAUAAAUAAUAAAGGAAAAUAUUCUUUAAAAAUUUUUAUUUUAUUUAUUUUUUUGAGUUGGAGUCUCACUCUGUUGCCCAGAUUGGAGUGCAGUGGCAUGAUCUCAGCUCACUGCAAACUCCACCUCCUGGGUUCAAGCGAUUCUUCUGCCUCAGCCUCCCAAGUAGCUGGGACUACAGGCGCGCACCACCAUGCCUGGCUAACUUUUGUAUUUUUAGUAGAGAUGGGGUUUCGACAUGUUGGCCAUGCUGGUCUCGAACUCCUCACCUCAGG
rnacentral:lncRNA from 10 species